UCUGAGCCUUUGAGGGCUUGUCCAUGAAUUAAACGAGGGCUUCCUAAUGCUAUUCAAAACCACGCCUAUACUUCAUUUUGGGAACGAAAGUAUUGACAAAACCCAACCUCAUCUCCUUGAGAUUUGAGAAAUCCCUUCUUCGACAGACCUCGAGUCCUCGACCCUCUCCCUCUCUCUUCUUCGACACAACUCUCCCUCCCUCUUCUUGAGAAGCCCCAACCUUAUCUCCUCCACAAACCCCGACCUAUCUUUUCUCUGACAAGCUCCAACAAAAGCUCUCCCUCUUCGACAAACCCCGACCAAAACCAUCUUUGCCUCUAGCUAGGUACGUUAUUCGAUUUGGGAAAUAAGGAAGGGAAGAAAACUUAAUGGGUAGCCUCUAGGAAGUCUCAGAGCUCCAAAGAGAGAGAAAGAGAGCGAUUUUUCGUUUCUAGGGUUUACUCUGCGCGAUCAAUCCGAGUUCCAAAGAUGCAGAAGCUAGGGUUUCCGAGCAUGAAGAGCUUGGAUUAGUUCAAGUCCCUUUCCAAAUCGGUCUCAGGAGGACCUCCGAAGACCUUCGCCUACACUUCACGUCCGCCGGAGUCGACCUUGUUGGGAAGCUUGGCGAAUUUGAAGCUCACCGCAGAAAUUGGUGAAGGAGAAAGCUUCUGUGAAAACAGAUUUGGAAAUGGCGGUGAAGUGGGGCUGUGAUUUGCAGAGUGAGCAUUAGCGUUAUUUAACUGAAGAGGCAUUUAGUGGAUGCCCAGUAAUUGUCAGGGACUAUCCGAAGGUUAGAGAGCUUAUCGGUGGAAGCCAGAGAGAAGAGAGGCUUGAAUAUUUUAGAAAACUGGUUGGAUGAAUUAAAGGCUGAAUAAGGAGGCAUACUGGCGGAAAGUGUACACAAAUAUAAAGGAAGAGGACAUGGCAUAUUGAAGUAAUGCUUGGGGAAGAGACGGAUAGUGGGCUCGAGAUUGCUGUCUAUUUUGUACCUUUAUGCAGUCUGCAAAUCUAGAGGAGUUCGAAGAAGAAUUUAAGGGUAUUAACCAAGAAGAGCAGAUCUGCAGACUUCACAAAAUGCUCGCUCCUUAUCUUCUUUCAAGUAUAAAUGUAAAACUCUAUUAAGCAUAUGUAAAUGUGCACUGUUUCAGAGUAUGUAAAUGUUCAACGUUUCUUAAGACUGAAUGUGAAAUUUAGCAAGCAAACAAACCUGCAGCAUUGCGCGGGCUAUCUCGCUAGUAAUAGCUAUUUAUUAUGAGAAAAUUACUGUUUGUUUGGUCAAUUUUUGGUUUCAGCUUUU
rnacentral:lncRNA from 1 species